rnacentral:rRNA from 1 species
GACGAACGCUGGCGGCGUGCCUAAUACAUGCAAGUAGAACGCUGAAGGAGGAGCUUGCUUCUCUGGAUGAGUUGCGAACGGGUGAGUAACGCGUAGGUAACCUGCCUGGUAGCGGGGGAUAACUAUUGGAAACGAUAGCUAAUACCGCAUAAGAGUAGAUGUUGCAUGACAUUUGCUUAAAAGGUGCAAUUGCCUCACUACCAGAUGGACCUGCGUUGUAUUAGCUAGUUGGUGGGGUAACGGCUCACCAAGGCGACGAUACAUAGCCGACCUGAGAGGGUGAUCGGCCACACUGGGACUGAGACACGGCCCAGACUCCUACGGGAGGCAGCAGUAGGGAAUCUUCGGCAAUAGACGGAAGUCUGACCGAGCAACGCCGCGUGAGUGAAGAAGGGUUUCGGAUCGUAAAGCUCUGUUGUAAGAGAAGAACGAGUGUGAGAGUGGAAAGUUCACACUGUGACGGUAUCUUACCAGAAAGGGACGGCUAACUACGUG